rnacentral:rRNA from 1 species
CAGUAGCCGCGGUAAUACGAAGGGCGCGAGCGUUACCCGGAUUUACUGGGCGUAAAGGGCGUGUAGGCGGCCUGGGGUGUCCCAUGUGAAAGGCCACGGCUCAACCGUGGAGGAGCGUGGGAUACGCUCAGGCUAGAGGGUGGGAGAGGGUGGUGGAAUUCCCGGAGUAGCGGUGAAAUGCGCAGAUACCGGGAGGAACGCCGAUGGCGAAGGCAGCCACCUGGUCCACUUCUGACGCUGAGGCGCGAAGGCGUGGGGAGCAAACCGGAUUAGAUACCCCUGUAGUCCCUGUCUCUUAUAC